UUAUUCUUUCCCGUCCCGUCAGUCCCGACUGUAGGUUUUACUCAGUCUCGACUCUGGCCCUUUCCUCUCGUCUCGUGUCUCCUCUUGGUCGGCUUGGAGGUGCAACGGUGACGGCGGCAGGGACUGCGACGGCGACGGCAACCGAUUGAGGGACAGAGCCCCUCUUCCUUCUGCGACGGCGCGCGCUCUGCUUUGGACUGGGGGGCGGCCAAAGUCUCUCCUUCAUCACUUUACACGCUGUUUGGCUAAGACCAAACAAAAAUCUCCUCCUCCUCGUCUUCUGCUACCUUGGGAAACCGCAGCGCAACCCCACCCUCUCUCUCUUUCUCUCGUAAAGGGUCAUUCGGUGACAAGGAAGCUUGGCUCAGAUGGCAAGGUGGACGCAGUGCAAACCUUGCACAAUCAUCCUUUGAUGAACUUGCUGGUUUUGAAGAAGCAUGGAAAAGUAGUGGUAAUGGGCCUUCACCUGGAUGGAGCUUUGAUUAUGAUUUGCAGCAGAAAGGAG